CGGUAAUUCCAGCUCCAAUAGCGUAUACUAAAGUUGUUGCAGUUAAAAAGCUCGUAGUUGGAUUUCUGCGGGGACGGAGCGGCCGGACGCAACUUGCGUCUCGAGCUAGCGCUUUCCCCGCAUCCUGCCGCGAACCGUGCUACCAUUAGUUUGGUGGCGCUGGGGAUCGGCUCGAUUACUUUGAGAAAAAUAGAGUGUUCAAAGCAGGCCACACGCCUUGAAUAAGUUAGCAUGGAAUAAUGACUAAGGACUUUGGUUCUUUUCGUUGGUGUUCGGGACUGAAGUAAUGAUUGAUAGGGACAGUUGGGGCGGUCCGUAUUCCAAAGCGAGAGGUGAAAUUCUUAGACCUUCGGAAGACGAACAGCUGCGAAAGCGUUCCGCAAGGAUGUUCCCUUUGAUCAAGAACGAAAGUUGGGGGAUCGAAGACGAUCAGAUACCGUCGUAGUCUCAACUAUAAACUAUACCAGCUAGGGAUCGGCCAACGUUUAGUUAUUCGACUUGGUCGGCACCUUAUGAGAAAUCAAAGCAUCUGGGUUCCGGGGGGAGUAUGGUCGCAAGGCUGAAACUUAAAGGAAUUGACGGAAGGGCACCACCAGCCGUGGAGCCUGUGGCUUAAUUUGACUCAACACGGGAAAACUUACCAGGUCCAGACAUAGGAAGGAUUGACAGAUUGAUAGCUCUUUCUUGAUUCUGUGGGUGGUGGUGCAUGGCCGUUUUUAGUCGGUGAAGUGAUUUGUCUGCUUAAUUGCGUUAACGGACGAGACCCCAGCCUGCUAAAUAGCGCGGCCGAGCUUUGCUCGGUGCGAGCUUCUUAGAGGGACCAUGAUGCGCGAUAGCACAAGGAAGUUUGGGGCAACAACAGGUCUGUGAUGCCCUUAGAUGUUCUGGGCCGCACACGGGCUACACUGGCGCCUGCAACGAGCAUAUCAGCUGGCCCGAGAGGGUCUUGGCUAAUCUUUGGAACCGGCGCCGUGCUUGGGAUUGACCAUUGCAAUUGUUGGUCAUGCAACGAGGAAUGCCUUGUAAACGCGAGUCAUCAGCUCGCAUUGAAUACGUCCCUGCCCUUUGUACACACCGCCCGUCGCUCCUACCGAUGAAUGUUCCGAUGAAAUUUUCGGAGAGCGCCAGAGAACGGGGCUCUGCCUUGUAGAUCUGGAGGCUCAAAGUCACUUAAAUCUGAACAUUUCGAGGAAGGAGAAGUCGUAACAAGGUAGCCG
rnacentral:rRNA from 1 species